GAGUGGCUUCUUUCUUUUUGGUCUUUGUUAAUUUUUCUCUCAUACAAUCAACACAGAUUCUCAAAUCAUCUGAACCAAAAGGAGGAAGAAUUUUUACCUUAACGAAUCUUUCAACUCAUUCUUUAGAGAUAUGCCCCAAACGCUAAUGCCACAACAAUUGAGAUUUUUUCUUAAUCAAAGAUCUUUUAGUCACAUUUUUCUCAAUAUUGAAAGAAGAAUUAAUACCAUCGG
rnacentral:lncRNA from 1 species